ensembl:lncRNA
AGCGAACCAGAGAAAUGGUACGACAAACAAAAGUGGCAAUGGAAAACAGGAUGGAAGAAAGCAAUAUGGAGAUGGGUGACAAAGACAGAGUGAAUGCUGUAAUCCAGAGGUUGAUUCUAGAGGUGGAACAAACCAGAGAGGUGUUAAGAAGGGUGAAAGAAGAAAUGGAACUGAGCAAGGAGGAGAUACAAAGGGAAAAAAGGAAGAUUAAAGAGGACAAUGCAAGGGAAGAGAAGGAUAUGAUGGAGUCUAUGAAAGCUGAGCUUGACAGACAGAAAGAGGGAAAAAACAGAAGGAAAAAAGAAAUGCCAAUGAUGAAGACCACGGUCCAGAGGCCACAGGAUGAAACAGAGAAAGCCUACCUUGGAGAUACAACAACUGAGAUACCAUUUGAGUCACAAGAGCUAAGAACCGCCAUUGAAAAAGAAAGAAGAGACUUGGAACGCAGAGAGAAAAUGAUUAUGAGAGAGAAGUAUGACCUGGAAAAGUCAAAAGCCGAGUUUGAGAAGGAAAAGGCGGGGAUGGAGAACAUGAUCACAAAACAACGAGAGGAGAGCAGACAAAUGAUUGAGGACAUAGAAAAGAAAAAAGAAAAUCUCGAGCAAAUGGAUGCAGAGAUGCAAAGGAAAAGACAGGUCAUCGUAAGGGAAAUGCAAUAUAAAACACAAAAGAUGCAGGAUUUAAAAAAAGCAAAAGAUAAAUUUAAACAAACGCAAGUUAAAUUUAGCAAAGAGAAAAUUGAAAUGGGAAACAUCAAAAAGGCUACCUUGGCGGAAAGAAAUAAACUAGCAGUAGAGCAAGCUUACAUAGAGAAACGUAAGGAGGAGAUGGAAGCCAUCCUGGAAACGACAAAGAAGGAGAAUGAAGAUCUGCUGAACUUAAAAGCUCAAAUAGAGGGAUGGAAAGAAGACAAAGACGAACGGGGUGAACGCCUGAACAGGGAGAGAAAGGAACUUGAAUAUCUGAAAAGUAAGAUUCAAAAAGAAAAAGAGGAUACGAUAAGAAACAGGAACAUUUCGGAAAAAGAGAAAAAGGACUUGGAGCUGAUGAGAUCUGAAAUGCAGAAAGAAAAGGGGAAGAUGGAACAAGAGAAGCUUAAGGUACAAGUUGAGAGACAAAAGCUUGAACAAAUGAAACUGGAGUUACAGAGAAAGUCCAACGACCUAGAUAUGAUCAUAGAAGACACAAAGAGGGAGAAAGUCAGUGCAUCACAAAUUCCUGUCCAAAUACAACAACAAAAGAACCAAAUUGAUUGUUUUGUGGAAGAGACAAAGAGGAGUAAAAUCGAAGAAGAAUUGAUGAGCGCUGAAAUAAAAAGACAGAAAGAGGAGAUAGACAGCAAACAAGACAUUCUAUCAAAUGAGAGAGAAGAUCUGAAUAAACUCAGAACAGAGGUAAACAAUCAGAGAGAAGAGAUUGAAAAUAUCACGCAAGAGCAAAUUAAAGAAACAUUUCUAAUUAAUCAGACAAAGACAGAGAUGGAAAAAGAGAGAUGUGAGAUGGACAGAAUAAAGAAAAUGAUAGAGCAGAAUAUGGAUGAGCUAGAGCAGAGAAAGUGUGAGAUGAGAAAAGUAGAAAACAUAAUUAUCGAACUGAGAAAAGAAGAAGAGAGUAUAACGAAUGAGAUGAACAGGAUGAGAAAGAACACAGAGCAGAAAAGUUUUGAAAUGCAGAGACGGUCUGAAGACAUGAAUCAGCUAAUGGAUGAGACAAGACGGGAGAGGGGGAAGGUUGAAGAACUGGCUAUCCAAACUCAAAAACAAAGAGAAGAAAUGGUGGGUUUUAUGGAAAAGAACAAACAAAAGCAGAACGAACUGGAACUCAUGACUGACAAGAUUGAAAGAGAGAAACAAGACAUCGAAGACAGUCGGGAUGUGCUAACAAAGGAGAGAGAGGAGCUGGAACAAAUGAGGAGUGAGAUACAGCAACAGAGAGAGGAGACAGAAUCUCACAUGGAAGACCAAAGGAAAGAGAAAGAACAUUUGGAACAAAUGACGACGGACAUGAAAAAACAGUUGCUAGAGGUGGACAAUGACAAGGAAAUGAUACAAAGCUCAAUGGGUGAACUGAGAGUGAAAGAGGCAGAAAUGGUGAGAGAAAAAGACAACAUGGAUAACAAGAUGGCUAGGCUCAAAGAGGAAGAGGAUAGAAUGCGGGAAGAAAUAGGAAGGAAGAUGGACAUCUUAAAGCAGGAAAGUUGUGAAAUCAAAAGACUUAGAGAUGAAAUUGACAGUGAAAAGGACCAGCUGAAUGCAAAAUUGCUUGAGUUGGAAAAAAUGCAUGAAGAACUAGAUAGAGAGAAGAAGGAAGUGAAAGACAGGAAGGAUGAAACACUGAAAGAGAAAGAUCAGUUGGAAGAGAGGCGAGGUAAGAUAAGUAAGGAGAAAGAGGAUAUCAGUCUUGAACUGAUGAAAAGACAAAGGGAAGACUUGAUGAGCUUGAAGGCUGAAGCAGAAGUACAGACCGAGCCUAUGGAAACAGACUGGAAGGAAAAGCUCACGAGGGAAAGACAACAACUUGAAGAUGUAAAGGAGGAGAUACAGAAGGAAAAAGAAGCCUUUGAGAGAAAGAAGGGAUUGGCCAUGAAAGAAAGAGAUGAGUUUGAUCUGAUGAAGUCUGAAACCCAGGGACAAUUGGAGGAAAUAGAACAAAACAAACAAGACAUUCGUGUGGAGAAGGAAAAGCUGGAUCAGAUCAAAGCUGAGUUAGAAAGACGGUCUGAAGACAUCAAUCAGCUCAUGGUUGAGACAAGACGGGAGAGGGGGAAGGUUGAAGAACUGGCUAUCCAAACUAAAAAACAAAGAGAAGAAAUGGUGGGUUUUAUGGAAAAGAACAAACAAAAGCAAAACGAACUGGAACUCAUGACUGACAAGAUUGAAAGAGAGAAACAAGACAUCGAAGACAGUCGAGAUGUGCUAACAAAGGAGAGAGAGGAGCUGGAACAAAUGAGGAGUGAGAUACAGCAACAGAGAGAGGAGACAGAAUCUCACAUGGAAGACCAAAGGAAAGAGAAAGAACAUUUGGAACAAAUGACGACGGACAUGAAAAAACAGUUGCUAGAGGUGGACAAUGACAAGGAAAUGAUACAAAGCUCAAUGGGUGAACUGAGAGUGAAAGAGGCAGAAAUGGUGAGAGAAAAAGACAACAUGGAUAACAAGAUGGCUAGGCUCAAAGAGGAAGAGGAUAGAAUGCGGGAAGAAAUAGGAAGGAAGAUGGACAUCUUAAAGCAGGAAAGUUGUGAAAUCAAAAGACUUAGAGAUGAAAUUGACAGUGAAAAGGACCAGCUGAAUGCAAAAUUGCUUGAGUUGGAAAAAAUGCAUGAAGAACUAGAUAGAGAGAAGAAGGAAGUGAAAGACAGGAAGGAUGAAACACUGAAAGAGAAAGAUCAGUUGGAAGAGAGGCGAGGUAAGAUAAGUAAGGAGAAAGAGGAUAUCAGUCUUGAACUGAUGAAAAGACAAAGGGAAGACUUGAUGAGCUUGAAGGCUGAAGCAGAAGUACAGACCGAGCCUAUGGAAACAGACUGGAAGGAAAAGCUCACGAGGGAAAGACAACAACUUGAAGAUGUAAAGGAGGAGAUACAGAAGGAAAAAGAAGCCCUUGAGAGAAAGAAGGGAUUGACCAUGAAAGAAAGAGAUGAGUUUGAUCUGAUGAAGUCUGAAACCCAGGGACAAUUGGAGGAAAUAGAACAAAACAAACAAGACAUUCGUGUGGAGAAGGAAAAGCUGGAUCAGAUCAAAGCUGAGUUAGAAAGACGGUCUGAAGACAUCAAUCAGCUCAUGGAUGAGACAAGACGGGAGAGGGGGAAGGUUGAAGAACUGGCUAUCCAAACUCAAAAACAAAGAGAAGAAAUGGUGGGUUUUAUGGAAAAGAACAAACAAAAGCAGAACGAACUGGAUCUCAUGACUGACAAGAUUGAAAGAGAGAA